UUGCGGCCAUAUCACAUUGAAACAUUUAUUCUCGUACGAUCACCGAAGUUAAGCAACAUUAAGCCUGGAUUGUACCCAGAUGCAUGAUCGCUUGGGAAUACCAGGUGG